CCCACUGCUAUCGAGGUGGGACUAAGCCAUGCUAGUCGAACGCACAGAACUAUGUCUGUGAGUGGCAUACUGCUCAGUAACACGUAGCUAACCUACCCUUCGGACGAGGACAACCCCGAGAAAUUGGGGCUAAUCCUCGAUAGAUGUGAUGUCCUGGAAUGGUAUUACGUCUAAAGGUAUAUCAUACAUGUUUGACAUACGCCUAAGGAUGGGGCUGCGGCUGAUCAGGCAGUUGGUGAGGUAAUGGCUCACCAAACCAUUGACCAGUACGGGCCAUGAGAGUGGUAGCCCGGAGAUGGACACUGAGACAAGGGUCCAGGCCCUACGGGGCGCAGCAGGCGCGAAACCUCCUCAAUGCACUAACGUGCGAAGGGGUUACCUCGAGUGCUAUCUGAAGAAGGUGGCUUUUCCAUGGUCUAAAAAGCCUAGGGAAUAAGAGGGGGGCAAGACUGGUGUCAGCCGCCGCGGUAACACCAGCCCCUCGAGUGGUGGGGAUGAUUAUUUGGCCUAAAGCGUCCGUAGCCGGCCCGGUAAAUCCCUCGUUAAAUCCAGCGUCCUAAGCGUUGGGCUGCGAGAGAGACUGCCGGACUAGAGGGUGGGAGAGGUCAGCGGUAUUCCUGGGGUAGGGGCGAAAUCCAUUGAUCCCAGGAGGACCACCAGUGGCGAAGGCUGCUGACUAGAACACGCCUGACGGUGAGGGACGAAAGCUGGGGUAGCGAA
rnacentral:rRNA from 1 species